UCAGUUUCAUUUCUUCUCUCAUUUUCUUUCAACCACCACCACCACCUCUGUAACUACCACCACCAGCUGCGCCACUUAAAUUUUAUUUUCAUGAUUUCUGCACAAUCCCUACUCCAACAUCAUAACCAGAGGUUGAUAUUUCUUUUCUUCUUCUUCAUCUUCUUUUCCUUCUGCACAACAACACCACCACAUUCGUCGCCGCCAACUGAUUCAAGAUUGGAUCCACAAUUAUCAGCAACUGAUGAAACCCCCUUCUUCAUCUUCUUCUUCGUCUAAAUAUUAAUUUUUUAAAUCAGAUUCAACGAUAUCGAGAUCUAAUUUUAGGUUUGGUUUUGAUUUCUGGUAAUAUUAUAGUUAAACUUUCCGAAUUAUCGAAGAGAGAGGAGUAACUAUGAUGAUGGUGGUUCUGGCGGCGGCAUGGGAGGAGGAGGUUUUGGUUAUGUAAUUUUAGAAUUCAAAAAGUAAUGCUGCUGCUGAUGGUGUUGCUGCCGGUGGUGGAUAAGGUGUUUACACAUAACAGAAGUAAAAGCAACUGGCCAACUGCCCUAAAGCAAAUUCAAACGAUAACACGCUGCAAGUCAGCUUUUUAUCAAUGUUUAUGGCAUCAGUAAGUAAACUUUUGUAUUUUACCGUGUUUGAGAAUUGGGAAAAAGAUAUAACAUGCUAACUGGGGAGACGAAUUUUCCAUUCUUCUCAAGAACUUCUUUAGCCUCAGUUCACUAGGAAUAAGCAUUAGAUCCAACUGUUCAUUCACAUAUUAAUUUGAAUAAUUGCUGACACAUCUUUUUAACUUUAAGUCUCCUAGUUUUUUUUUACAUGCUUUCGCAUACAAUAACAUGUCUGCUUUUGAGCACAUUUGGAUUAGUAUCAUUAUGCUUGUACUUUAAAUGUAUGCAUUUUAUAGAUAUAAAUUCUCCAAA